GACAGAGGGUGCAAACGUUGCUCGGAAUCACUGGGCGUAAAGGGCGUGUAGGCGGGUAGAUAAGUCGGGCGUGAAAUCCCUAGGCUCAACCUAGGAACUGCACUCGAAACUGUUUAUCUUGAGUGCCGGAGAGGAAAGCGGAAUUCCUGGUGUAGAGGUGAAAUUCGUAGAUAUCUGGAGGAACACCGGUGGCGAAGGCGGCAUCCUGGACCGGCAUUGGCGCUGAGGCGCGAAAGCUAGGGGAGCAAACGGG
rnacentral:rRNA from 1 species